rnacentral:misc_RNA from 1 species
GGGAGGACGGUGGUGACCUCGCAGAUCCGCCGCUUCAGCUCCGCCACGCUGUCAUCGGCGCACACCCGCACGGUGUACUCCUUCCCGCCCCACUUCACCGUCAGGGUCAUCUCCUCCACGCCGUCCGCCUCCACUAUCGCCGCAGUACCCGAGCUCGAUUCCGCCGCAGGCGGCGGCGGCGCCGCGAGCGUGGAGGCCUCCAUCUCUCUCACGGAUCACAAAACC